CUACCUCCACACUUCUACUCUACAGACCGACACCCCCAUCUCCAUCUUGUUCCCUUCCUUCCUCUCUACUUGCUCCCAUGGCUUCCCUGCUUUAAUCCUCCUCUGUUGGCGGCAAAUCCAUGGGAGAAACCAACAAAAUGGAACGAGGACGACAAGAGGAGCAAGAAGAGGGGCAUCUUCAAGGUGGAUUGGUCCUUCCCCCUCUCUUCCCGCUGCCCUAGGGUUUGGGGAAGACCAAGGCCAGGUGGUUGGAGAGAUAUGAUUUUUUGAAGUGAGCUGUAAAGUUUUGAUAAGGUUCUGGACAGAACUGGAUCUAUAAGAAUUUUGGAAACCUCAAGGUGGUAAUGAUUCGUAUGGCGCCUAAAGCGGUCAUCCCUUCAUUGGAGGCAAGUAAACGUAGCGGUGGUUUGCAACGAGCUUUAACUUAUUAUUCGUACUACCUCCACCUUAAAAAUUCAGAACUACAACUAAUACUAUGUGAGCUAUUUAAUCAUGCUUUAAUCAAUUUGAUAUAUGUUCUAUGGUUACUAGUUAUUCUAUGUGAAUAUAUAUAUAUAUAUAUAUAUAUAUGUUACUCUACUUAUGGCUUGGAGAUGUUCGCCAGGGCUUAAUGGAAUGAGGCUUAUUGUUCAUAUGGAGUUUUUGCAUGAUAGUGUAUAUGGUUUAUCAUACUCUAUGGCAUUUGCACUGCAUCUCAUUCAUUGCAUCGGCAUAUAGAGUUAUGUCACUGCUUCUAGCCGUGACCGUACAGUACAGCAUCGUUUAUCGAUGCUGCUCCAUACCUUGUUGGGUAUGAAGGCAGGAGACAUGGCAUUUGCAGUAUAUCAUUACUUUCUAUGGCAUUUGCAUUGCAUUCAAUGGCAUAUGGAGUUAUGACACUGCUUCUAGCCACGACCAUACCAGUACAGCACCGUUUAUCGAUGCGGCUUCAUACCUUGUUGGGUAUGAAGGCAGGAGACAUGGCAUUUGCAUUGCAUAUGAAUUAUGAUUUUGGAUUAUGGCAUAUUUGUCUUGGAUUCAGGCUUUGGGAGAAUUAUGUCAUAUUUGUCUUGGAUUCAGGCAUAGGGAGAAACACUGAGAAGCGAUGCUUCUCCUAGGCUUGGUGGUGAUCGGUAUUUAUCUUGCAUAUGAAGUAUUUAUUUGAUUUGUUAUAUCUCAUGGAUUAUCAUUGGUUUACCUUUAAUUGGGAGAUUAAGUCGAUACUUAAUUGAACUUGUAGUUUAAAUAGCUUGUUAAAGCAAUUUACUUGCUGAGAUGUCAUAUCUCACACCCGCUUUUAUCUUUCCAGGUACUUGAAUCGCUUUGCUUGAAGGGUGGGAAGCUUCUCCUUGUCGUUUUCCUUAAAUUUGCAAUGUGGUUCAUGUUGACUGGUUUAGAAUUUGUUUGGUGGUUUCAUCUAUUGUUUAAUGUGUUAUAUCAUGCUAGUGUGCUUAUAUUUAUCUCUAUACGUUGUUGCUUCCACGAUGCACCUUUUUGCAAGGAAGAUGCUCCCAAAAUUUCUAUUAGUUAUAUACAUUUUUAUCCUUUGGGUGUUAUAUUUGGUUUUGGGGCAUUACACAUCCUCGAGAAGGCAUGGGCUUGCUUCAUCAAAAAGCACGUAGGAGUUGUUGACAGGUCGUGUGAUCUUCAUAUCAAGCUGGACUUUCUGUGUUUGAGACCCGAGGACGGAAACAAUUUAUGUAGCUAUUAUGUAUGUGAGCUCAUCCACGACUUUAUCGGUGCAAAGAAAAUGACAUAAAAAGAAUUCGAUAUUUGAAAAAUUAAAGAAGACCUCAUCGAACCACAAAAAGUUAGGGCAAUUCAAGAAUAACUGUGGAUUCCUGCUGGAUGAGGUCAUAAAUCCCACCAGAGAAUAUUAUGCCGAUCAUAGAGUAAAUGUGGGUCUAUUUGAUGAAAAUAGGGACAACGAUGAAGAAGAAGAGUAAUAUUUGAAUUAGUUGUAAGAAAACAACUUAUAUGACUACUUGUAUUAUUUGAUCCCAAGUGUGCAUUAUUAUUUGAAGUAUUUGUAAUA